GCCGGACCGAGGCGGCGGGGCCCGGCCGCGCUGCGGGGCCGCGCCGGGCGGGACAAGCGGGAGAUGCGGCCGCGGGCGCUGCGCGGCCUCCUGGCGGGGCUGCUGCUGCUGCUGCUCGCCGGCUGCGGGGAGGCUGCGGCUCAGCGGCCCCGGGACGCUUCCACCGCCUCGCCGAGCCCCACGGAGGCGGCCGGCGGGGCCGCCACGCGGAGCAGCAGCAGCAGCAGCCGCCUGGCCGAGGUGUCGGCGCCGCCCGAGCAGGGCCAGCCCAUGACCCAGCGCGCCCUGUCCGUUCUGGUGCUGGCGAGCGCCACUCUCAUCGUCUACUUCGUGAUCCGGACUGUGCGGCUCAGAAGGCGAAACAGAAAAACCCGAAGAUAUGGAGUUUUGGACACAAACAUAGAAAACAUGGAGCUGACCCCAUUAGAGCAAGAUGAUGAUGAUGAUGAUACAACACUAUUUGAUGCCAAUCAUCCUCGAAGUUGGAGAAGGGAUGUCAAGAUCACUUGAAUUUUAAAUGGGGAAGAAUUUAGUGGGCAAGAAGAUAAGCACCAUUUGUCUUCAGCAUGUGAAUUCCAGAGAAAUGGAGAGGAAGGAUGGCACCCUCAGCAAAUUCACAGACAACAUGAAGCUGAGAGGGAGUAUUGAUCUGCAGGAGGGCAGGAAGUCUCUGCUGAAGGAUUGGACAGGCUGGAUCAAUGACCUGAGGCCAAUUGCAUGAGGUUCAACAAGACCAAGUGCCGGGUCCUGCCCUUGGGUCACAACAACCCUGGGCAGUGCUACAGGCUGGGGACAGAGUGGCUGGAAAGCUGCCCAGGGGAAAAGGACCUGGGGGUGCUGGACCAGAGCCAGCUGGACAUGAGCCAGCAUGUGUCCAGGUGGCUAAGAAAGCCAAUGGCAUCCUGCUUGGAUCAGAAAUAGUAUGGCCAGCAGGAAAGGGAUUGUCCCCCUGUACUGGGCACUUUUGAGGCCAUACCUCAGGUGCUUUGUUAAUUUUUGGGCCCCUCCAGGCCAGAAAGACCCUGAUGUGCUGGAGCAAGUCCAGAGGCCAGUGGAGCUGGGUAAGGGUCUGAGCACAAGUCUGAUGAGGAGCAGGCGAGGGAUCUGGGGUUUAGCUUGGAGAAAAGGAGGCUCAGGGGAGACGUCAUGACACUAUACAACUACCUGACAGGAAGUUGUUGCCAGGUGGAUAUUGGUCUCCUCUCCCAGGUUACAAGUGACAGGAUGAGAGAGAGGAAGUGGCCUCAAGUGGCCUCUCUGCACCAGGAAGAUUUUGAUUGGAUAUUAGGAGAAUUUUUUUCACUGAAAGUGUUGUCGAGCGUUGAAUUAAGCUGCCUGGGAAAGUGGUGGAGUCACCAUUCCUGGAAGCAUUCAAAAUAUGUGUGGAUGCGACACUUGAAGACAUGGUUUAAUGGUGAGCAUGGUGGUGGUGCUGGGUUAAUGGUUGGACUUAAUGAUUUUAAAGGUCUUUUCCAGCCUUAACAAAUCUAUGAUUCUAUGGUAUGGAAUAGUUCCACAAUAACAGAGGAAAACAGACACUUACUGUUUUAAUUGUUAGUCAGGUAGCAGAAAUGAAGGUGCCAGGACACAAGUUAUUGACAAAUAGAUCAGAAGAAACGUCCAACAUCAGUGGACUGCUGUCUACCCCUAUUGCAAAGUCUUUAAGAUUGUAGAAGUGAAUAUAGACUAAACUUUGUCCUGGAAUGUGCUCUAAUAAAUGUUUGUUUUGUCUUGAGGAUGAAGCAAGCAUACUCCUAUUGAAAUUAAAAACCAAAACAAAACAAACAAACAAACAAAAAAAGGCAGGAAAAAAAAUAAAAACCAGCCAAAAAAAGCUCUCAAAAACAGCAACUCUGUAUACUGAUGUAGUAAAGAAUGGGAUAGGAAGAUAAGAAAUGUAUAGUAUAAUUUCAUAGUUUAAAAAUCAUUAGAGUUUUACUGAAAAGGAGUAAACAUUCAUCAGUUUGAAAGGGUGCCUGAUUGCCUAAAUUGCAUGUACAAGCUUUCUUACAGCCUUCAGAUACAUAAAAUUUCAAUAGCAUACAUUUCUGCAAAGUUUCAUAAAUUAGCUGUUCUGAAUGCUAGCUUCUCAAUCAAGAGGGAAAAAACUCUGCUCUAAACUCAUUUUGGAAUAGGUCGAAGACCUGAAAGCCUGUUCAAACCUCUAGAAGACUGUAUUUAUAGAAGGGAUGGACAAAUAUUCAGUUUGCAAAGAGAUGUGAUAUUAUUUCUGCUUACAGUGUUUUAUUUCCCUCUGACACAAAGUGGUUUAUCACUUCAUAUAGAAUCAUAGAAUAUACUGAGUUGGAAGGAACCCAUCCAGGAUCACUGAGUUCAACUCCUGUUCCUGCACAGAACCAUUCCCAAGAGUUCUGUGCCUGAGAGCAUUGUCCAAAUGCUUCUUGAACUCAGACAGACUUGGUGCUGUGAUCACUUACCUGGGGAGCCUGCUGUCUAUGAUUUAUGAUUAAGUGGGGGGGAGAAGAGGAUGGAUGGAUGGAUGGAUGGAUGGAUGGAUGGAUGGAUGGAUGUUAGUUUGAACUACCCCAUGCAGGAGUAGGAGUGUUUACCUGACUGCUCUCUGUCAAGAGUUGAGGAAAAAGUGAACAAUUUGGAAUGGGAAUGUUUCCAGCUAGCAGAGUUAAUCUCUGAAGAUAUGAUGCAAGAAUUUUGUAGUCUUUUGCAUGACAAAAUAAGUACACAUCUGUAUAGCAGCUCAAUUUAACCAGGUCAGGUCUACCUGUGAGUUUGCAGAGAGAUUUUUUUUGUGCUUGCAUGAUACACCAAUCUGCACACAGCUUGUAGGUUCAGAUCCAAAAUCUGUAAAAUAUGAUCAAAUGUUUUGGGACAGAGGUCAGACAUGAAAUACUCAUAUUAUUCUUUUACCUUACAAUAGUUUCAGAUAUUGUCAGUGCUUUUUAUAACUCUGAAACAUGUGAUCAAAACAAAAAGGUAGGACAGGAAUAUUUGUCCUUUGGACAUUUUUCUUCAGUUUUCUUUUUUUUCUGAUUCAUUUGUUCAGACACCCAUACAGCCUCACCUUCCUAAGUAUUUUUGCUCUCUGAAAUGAACAUUGCUGACUGCAUAGGUGAGAUGCAGAUUGUGAACUCUUUAUGCAGUGAACUGUAUUUAUGCUUUGAUCGCUGGGUCUGUCAUUUCCACAGGCACAUACUUGUGAUGUCAAAAGUAAUGACAGGACUUAUUGGCAAUGCCUGCAGCAAGCUUAGUCUAAGAAAAAUGGACAGAUUUUUGUCAGUUGCUGCAACUGGUUUGGCAAAGAUAAAUCACAUGUUUUUGCUGAAUUACCUUUGUUUCACUAGGCAAUACUCCUUUUACUGAAUUUUUCAUGAUGAGCAAAAUAAUGUGUCUUUAAUUUUUUAUUAUUUUCCAGAUCUUUCUUUUUCUUUGUUGAUUUUGUAAAGCAGCUGCUCAGAUUAUAAGAUAUCCAUCCAUAUAAUGGCCUUUCAUGCUUUCUUAAGGUUUAAGCACUUUUUAUAUUUGCUCUUCAUUGUCCUCAACUUGGCCUGCUUUAAGUUGGACCCCUAGGGAACAAAGUGCUUCAUAAGCAAUCUUUUUUAGUGUUCAAUUCCUUAUCAUAUGUCCCCUUUAGGACUUCAUUUUAUAUUUCUCUCCAGCAGAAAAUAGUAAUAGAUUCUGUAAAUCUCCUUUUAUAAUAUCUUCUAUUUAUUGCACACACCUAAUGGAGCUGCAUGUCAUACUCCAGUUACUUUGGAGCGCGUGUUUAAUAACCUGCUAUAUAUUAGAAAACAAACAUUGAUCUAAGAGCCUUUGCUCUUCACCAUUGUAGUUAGCUACAUUAGUAAAGCAGAAAAUGCUCUUUUAUGUGAGCACAUGUUCAAAAUUGGACAGGUAUGAUAAAUAUUACUGUGUUAAUAAAAAUCCCACACAGAAGCAGCUCUGUAGCAUUUAACAUCCUGCUUUGCAGAGACUGCUGAGCUUUUUGGGCUGGAAGUCAACUUGAAGAAGAUAGAAGUUUUCUAUCAACCUGCACCUCAGGAAGUCUUCCAUCAUCCUCAUAUCACCAUUGGCGAAUCAGAGCUUAAAUCAGUCCAGCAUUUUAAUUACGUGGGAAGCAUCGUCUCCUCGGAUGGUGAGAUUGACAAAGAGAUAGACAACAGGUUAGCAAAAGCAUAUAGUGCCUUCAGAAAACUCCAUAUUUCCAUUGGCGAAAUAAACACCUGAAGAAAAGUACAAAGAUCAGUGUUUACAGAGCCAUUGUGCUGUCUACUCUUUUGUAUGGUUCCGAAUCAUGGGUCAUUUACCACCACCGCCUGUACCUCUUAGAACGCUUCCAUCAGCGCUGUCUCCGUUCAAUCCUAAACAUCCACUGGUCAGAUUAUGUGACCAACACAUCUGUUCUAGAACAAGCAGCAGUCACAAGUAUUGAGGCCAUGUUGAUGAGAACACAACUGCUCUGGGCAGGGCACGUCUCAAGGAUGAAGGAUCACCGCCUCCCUAAGAUCUUGCUUUAUGGUGAACUUGCCACCGGCUGCCGCAAGAGAGGAGCCCCGAAGAGGAGAUACAAGGACUCCCUGAAACAACAUCACAGCCUCGGCCAUACUGAUCUUCAUCAUUGGUCUACUCUGGCCUCCAAUUGGGAGGUCUGGAGACACACCAUCUAUAAUGCUGUUGCUUGUUUUGAGAACACACGCAGGAUCACUCUUGACGAGAAAAGACAAUGUAGAAAGAACCGUGUCCUGUCGAUACCAUCCAAGGAGUCUUUUUGCUGUACCUUUUGCAACCGGACCUGUCUAUCUGGCAUUGGCCUUUUUAGCCACCAGUGCACUUGUAGCAAGUGUGGGUAGAGUCCUUCCCAAAUCUUUGUUCACGAAGCCUAGCCAUGAUGAUGAUGAAUAAAAAUCCUUAGUGUCCCAGCAUUCUUUUCUGUCUGUAGCUGUUUUUAACAAUGGAACAAGUCAUUGCUUACUUUGUGUGUCUUGGAAAAGGGUAGUUUUGUGAGCAUUUUGAGGUAAGCAGGACUGUAGUAUUUAUGAACAAUCUACAUUCACAAAACCUGCAAUUUAAUGAGAAAUCUCAUGUAGUGACUAAAAGGAUUUGGAGAAAAUAAUUGUCUUCCAAAUAAUUAUCCAUACAUAACCAUUCCCCCUCUUUCCAUUCUUAGUUAUAUUACCUAAACACAGACAUACAUACGCACUACAGCAUUAAUUCAGUAGCUUUCUCUGUGAAUAUGCAACAGGAAUUAAAACUGCAUGAGAAACCUAUGUAUUUCACUGAGCUAUAAUUUCCACUUUUUUCUAUUUCUUAUCAAACAAAUAAACUGGCAGUCCAUUUCAUAUAGAGUAAGGCACUCCUGUGUUCCACAUUCACUAAAAGCUUUGUCUACUUGUUUGGUGACUAAUGAAGAUACAAAAAUAUUUAUAUUCUACCAAAUUUAUAUUUUACUUUCUGUUCCUGAGCAUUUAGUAUGAGGAGGAUUCAACAGGACAGAAUAAGAAAAGGACAAGAAAAGGACAAGAAAAGACCAAGGUCCUCCAUUAACUUUAGCCUUGCACAUAAUAACCAUUCUUUCCUCCCCUGAAGAACACCUUUUUUUUUUUUAAAUUACUUUUUGUUACAUUAUGUAUUUUAAACUUAAUCAAACACUAGAAAUUGGAUUUGGGUUUCUGAGUGUAAGCUUCUAUUGGGUAAUAUUCAAAAUUAGGAAUUUAACAUAAAUCUGCAGUACUGAUGCCUUAUCAUGAUGGAGAGUAUUUUGUCUUUGUAUCUACAUUACCAAAACCAUGGUAUUCUGAAAUAUGUUUUUAAAAUAAUACAAUACGUAGAAGUACACAUAUGCUAGGCAAAUAUUUAGUACCAUUGGAUGAACUUUAAAGAUUGUUUUUAUGCUUGAUAGAAUCCUAUUCCUAAGUGUUCUUAGUUGUUUGUAAAUUGCACCUUUUUCAGACGUCUUUUAUUUUAAUAGCAAAUACCAUAAAGCUACAUAAUGUCUGUCAUGCAAUUUCUUGAUGCAAAAAAAUCAUUCCUGGUAGAAUGAAACAUCAUAAACUGUGCGAAAAUAUUAUCUCUGGUUUUCUUUGGCUCUCAGCUUGAUUACACUGUAUUGCAAUGGAAAUUUUAUUGUAGAUAAGUUUCUGCUUUUAGCCUGUCUUUCUAAGGGAACAAAUGCCAUGACCACAUUAUCUGCACGAGAACAAAAGUCUUCCUGCUAACCUCUCCUAAUAAUAAAAGAUGCUGGCCCAUUUCAUCUAGAUGUGGCAGACAGAGAGGGAGUUCUCAGAGGCAUUAUCUUCCUAUACAUUACAGAUAGAAAGAAAAAAGUGGGAGUCAGAGAAGAGAGACCUUAGGAUUGUGCAGGAGUGGCACAUUGGAAACCAGAAUGUGUAAAUUCUACUGAAUAUGGAAUUGUUUUUUUUUUAUUUCACCAAAUUAACAGUGCAUUUUCCUAUAAAACUGCCAAAGCCAUCAUUAUGUAUGUACAAACCCUCUCCUGAAGAAAUUGGGAAAAAACAUUGUGCACAGCAGCUCUGUUGACUUUUGUAAGCACAGCAGGUAUGCAGACCUUUGAAGACAGCUUUAUUCCUGUGAAACUGUUAGGCUUCCUAGUCCUGUCAUUUUAGGGUUUGUGCAUGAUUAAAAUCUCAACAGCUUUUCAGUUCCAAAAUAAUUUCAAAUUAUAAUUUUCUGUAAACAUGGAGUUUUAAAUUAUUUUUUUUUAGAUCCAUACUUCCAAUGUAAUUAUUGUUCAGUAAAGAAGACUCUUAAGAAGCGGAAACAAAUUUUAGUUACUUUAAUAAUUCACUGUGCUGUGGUCUGAAAUAAACAUCAGACUUUUUGCAAAGGCCCAUAUCCAACAACUACACAGGGAUUGUUUAUCUAAAAUGAGAGAUGUUUAUUUAAAGAAAAUGUAUGAAUGUGAUAACAGACUGUGCUCUUUGUAGGCAAUCUGACAUGGCAGUAGAAUAAUUUAGUUCUGAUGUAUUCACCAUAAAAUUUGGCCAAGAACAUAGAAUAUAUUGUAGGUACAGUAAUAUACAAUGUUAGCAGCAUUGCAUGAGGCUGUAAAAUAGACUAGAUUGGAAUAGUUCAGUUGGAAGGGAUCUGUAGUGACAAUCUGGUCCAACUGCCUGACCAACUCAGGGCUGACGAAAAGUUAAAGGCAUUAUGCAAAUGACUUUUAAACACUGACAGGCUUGGGGCAGCGACCACCUCCCUAGGAAGCUGAAACUGCCUGUCUACACACACUCUACAGAUCACACUGACUACAGGUCACACUCAGCAUUUAAUGUUUACUUUACAGCUGGACUAGAUUUUCUUCCCUUUUUCUUUCCAGUCCUGCUUUUUUCCAAUCUUUUAUUUAGUUAUCUCAUUUUUUUUCCUGAAGUGGUAGGUGAUGGAGAUUCAGUCACUCUCCUGAUACAGUUUUCCAGUGCCAGCUGGCACUUCUAGGAAAUGCUGUGUUCAUGGUGGACUUUGCCCAGGUUCACUUUCCAACCACUUCAUGUUACUAUGAAUUUCCCUUAAAAACUGAAAAUCCUCACAUAAUCAAUGAUCUUUUCCAUGUCCAACAUACUUGUCAAGUUACUUCAAAACCCUUUUUAGAGAAAUUGAGUAGACUAAACUUUAAUAACUUAAUUUUUUUCCCAGUUCUUUUACUACAUUUGGAGUUUUUUGUUUGAAAUCUUUUUGUUAUUUCUACUUCAUCAGAAAAUGUAGAUGCCAGAAAUGGAAACAAUGUCAGUUUACAGAGGUAAAACUACAUUUCUCCCUUUUCUUGUUACACCAAGUGUUCAUGUUGAGUCCUUUACCUCUGACAGUCCUCUAGUUUCCAAAAAAAUUAUCUCUCACACUACUUAUAUUGUUAUUUAUUUGUACUUGCUUUGACUCCCUUGCCUGCCCCACAGGUCCCUGAGUUGCAGGCUGGUCCAGCUUGAAGUUUGCUGGUGAUAACAUGUGCACCCCAUGCCCACGAGUUUUGGGGAGGACCCUGACAUUCACACCCCAGCAACAGAUACCACACACGCACAGGCUAUGACUGGUUAAUCAUUUGGCCGUUCAGAACUAAAUUUUAUGUAAUCUAAAAGUAUUAUUAACAAAAAUAAUGCAGUAUGACUUUCUUAAAAUCCUUUAACUAUCUUCGAUUUCACUAAUCAUAUGCUUAGGUAAAAAAAAAGAAAAACAGUGUUGAAGGAAUUGAUAGUAGAAAAUUCUAGUUAAACAUAUUUAUAACUGAUUACUGGAAAAAAUAAUGAUUUCCAUCUUCAUUCAGUUUUUCCAACAUAAGGCAGAAAGAAAAAGGGAAGAAAAUAGUCAGAUCUAGCAGAUCCAGAAAAGGAAAAACAAACCCUGAUAAAGACACAAGCCUUCACUUUCGCUUUGAUUUUUCAGAUUCAUGGCGGUCUUUCAGAAGGCCUUUCCUUUGCAGAUUUCCUUUCCCUCCCUUCCUUUGUAAUUUCCUUUGUACACAUGGCUAAUAAACACAAUCUGGGCUGUUUUUCAGCACUCUUCUACAUUGCACAGCCUUCAUCCUUUCACUUAAACAUAUUUUACCUCCUAAACAGAUUAGCAAGCUAUCUGUUGGAAUCAGUUUUGAGUCCAUUCUAACUCCUACGCUGGGUUUGAGAAUUUUCUGAAACAGAGCUUCUGGUCUCCUAAAAUUGCCUAUGAAGAUUUUAAUGGUAUGUCAGAGUAGCUUUUUGAGAUCUAUUAUUUAAAUACUACCUGGCACUGCUCAAUUCAUAGCAUAGAUUAAGUUCUGCCGAAAUUCCGAGUACCAUCUAUCAAUAAGAUAAUGGGUGGAGUGUAGGAGCCAACACCUGGUAGUCUUCAGACAUUUCUGCCAAACAUUAGCUAUCAAAAGCUUAAUGCCAUGAGCUAGUGUCCUCACAGAGCACAAGUUUGAGAGGAAUUUGCCCUGCUUGGAGGAAACAAGAAUUUGUCAGGACCAACUCUGCCAUCAGAGCUGACCCUGCUGUGGUCAGGGCUGGGCUAGAGAUGUCCUGAGGCCUCUUCCAGCCUGAAUUACCUGCCCUGUGUGUGGGCUUGUGGUACAUUGGUUCUAAAGCACCUUCUAGCUCAUUUGUCUCAGACUCAGAGCAUAAAGCCUCAUGGCUGCAGAUAUGGUUGAAUAAAGCCUCCACAGCAGUGCUUAGGUCUCAAAACAUGUCUCUUACUUCUUUACUUCCUGCCUUGUUUUACACCUCUUCAGUAAGUUGGUUCUGCUUCUUCUAACAUGGGCUAUUCUGACAGUAAUGUGCUCACUGUGUUUUUCUGCCUUGUUUUAUUCGUA